ACCCAGACUCCUACGGGAGGCAGCAGUGGGGGAUAUUGCACAAUGGGGGAAACCCUGAUGCAGCGACGCCGCGUGAGUGAAGAAGUAUUUCGGUAUGUAAAGCUCUAUCAGCAGGGACGAAAAUGACGGUACCUGAGUAAGAAGCCCCGGCUAACUACGUGCCGGCAGCCGCGGUAAUACGUAGGGGGCAAGCGUUAUCCGGAUUUACUGGGUGUAAAGGGAGCGUAGACGGCAGUGCAAGUCUGAAGUGAAAGCCCCGGGCUUAACCCGGGAAUUGCUUUGGAAACUGUACGGCUGGAGUGCUGGAGAGGUAAGCGGAAUUCCUAGUGUAGCGGUGAAAUGCGUAGAUAUUAGGAGGAACACCAGUGGCGAAGGCGGCUUACUGGACAGUAACUGACGUUGAGGCUCGAAAGCGUGGGGAGCAAACAGGAUUAGAUACCCGCGUA
rnacentral:rRNA from 1 species